ACGGGCAUGGACGCCCGUGGUUCCACGCAGAAACGAUGUUUUAAAGCAGGACAGCUUACAAAGCUUUAAAACUCGUGGUUUAGUUUUUGACACGGACGUCAAAAACUAAACCGUU
rnacentral:sRNA from 1 species